rnacentral:rRNA from 1 species
UACCUUGUUGAUCCUGCCAGUAGCAUAUGCUUGUCUCAAAGAUUAAGCCAUGCAUGUCUAAGUACACAUGGGCAUUACGGUGAAACUGCGAAUGGCUCAUUAAAUCAAUUAUGGUUUCUUUGGUUGCUCCUACCAUUCCUUGGAUAACUGUGGUAAUUCUAGAGCUAAUACAUGCCAAUGAGAGCUGACCUCCUGGGAUAUGUGCAUUUAUCAGACCAAAACCAACCCUGGCUCGCCCGGCCGCUUUGAUGACUCUAGAUAACCUCGGUCCCAUCACAUGCCCCCUUGACAGUGGCGGCGCAUUUAAAUGUCUGCUCUAUCAACUUUCAAUGGUACUUUCUGUGCCCACCAUGGUGACCACAGGUAACAGGGAACCGGGGUUCGAUUCUGGAGACGGAGCCUGAGGAAUGGCUACCACAUCCAAGGAAGGCAGCAGGCGCACAAAUUACCCACUCCCAACGUGGCGAGGUAGUGACAAAAACUAACAAUACAGGACUCUUCUGAGGCCCUGCAAUUGGAAUGAGUACAGUUUAAAUCCUUUAAUGCCUCUCUUAAGGAAAUGGCAGCUGAUGAUCUGUGAUGUUCUACUGAUCAGUC